UGCUCUGAUCUUGCUUUCCUGCUGCCCUGUUCCCCAAGUCUUUUAUCCCCACCACAUGUACCAGGUCAAGUUCACUGUUGAGAUGGCCUGUUGGUCAGCUGGAAGCUGCUGGUCUGUGAUGAGGGAUUCAUUGUUCAGUGGCCAGCGCUGAGGUCCCCUGAUCUGAAGAGCCACAAGAGCCAAUGAGAGCAUUUGACUGCAUCUGUCAUUAAAGUGCCUGUCAUCUGAGGAGCACUACACAGGCAUUGACUCUCCAUUCUACAAGGCCCCAGGAGAGGCAGGUGCUGAAGAUACCCAAGGGUUUGGGAGAGGAAACCAGCCACUGAGGACAGCAGCUACCUAGACAGCCCAGCCUGACAGGAUAGAAAGAAAGACCCACACCCAGGAUCUGGCCCUUGACUUUGGAGGGAACUGAGGUAAAAGACAGGGUGGAAACCAGUUUGAUGUCAGUACAGAAUCGAGUUCCAAAGUCAGUUGCAGGGUGUGGGUCCUGAAGUGAAAAAGCUACAAACAUCAGGCAGGGCGAUGGUUUUUCCAUGGGGGGUCUAAUUCUGGCUCCCACGUGUCCCUUCCCUCAGCACCUGGACCAGCCUUGACUGGAAGACCACGGAAACCUCAGGAGCUAUGUUGCAACCCCAUGGCCAUGAAGCAAGGGGCUGUCAGACACAGGUGGCCAAGGAACACCAGGCCCCAGCAGAGCACGGUAAGAAAUUCUACCUUGGGGCCCUGCAGGGGGUCCCCCUUACUUCGCCACCCUCCCCAGUAGGUGAGGUGAGAUCCUGAAACCAGACCUGCCCUAGGCUAGUUCCCUUUCCAGGGCUAUCGAAAACUCAGGGUUUCCUCCAGUGAUUCCUCUUGAGGAGUCACUCGUCCCUUGAGGUGGGGUGAGGACGGCUGGAUUCAGGAAGUUGCUGGCGUUCUCAAGUGUUCAAGUUCACCUUUCGGUUUUCUUAUCAGAGAGGUGUGUGAGUAACCUCGGGAACUGGUGUGGAACUACCUUGGUGGACAGGAUCCCUGAAACUCUGCUCCCAGCCAGGGCAGGCAGCAAGGCAGGAGCCUGAGCCAAACUGAAAUUCAGAAGGAGAACCUGAAAUAGGAACAAGAAAAGAUAUGGGGGUGUAUCUGGCUGCACAUGCACACGGUGACACUCUGCACCCCAGCCAGGGUCUCCUCAGCAUGGAAGGGAAUGGGCCCUUUACCUCAAAAAAAAAACAAAACAAAACAAAAAAAAACAAAAACAAAAACAAAACACAGCUCUCGCCUCAAAGCACACAAGAGCCAGUUUGUUCUGGGGACAAAUAUCCGAGUGACCAACCAUGGCCCUUUCAAAGGAAAAAGAACAAUAUCAGCUGAGGCAUCUUUCAAAUACAUCAUUGGAGACAUAAGUCAGGAGGGUUAAGGCUUAGAAAGGGAAUCUAUUUUAAACCUCAGACACCCCCAUGACAUUCUUAGCCUUUGGGAUGAUAGGAGCCAGGUUCUGUUUGUAUAAUCUGAAGAACUUACUUGCAGUCAUGAGAAUGUUAGGUCACCCACAGAGGUGGGCAGUGCAGAGCUAUUUAGGGGCUGAGAUAGCCCAAGAUAAUCUAGCUCUUCUGCCACAUUCCGGAUCUCCACGGUCAUUAAAGUGUUUUUAUUUUAAAUAUGUUUUUAUCUAUAAUGUAUAUGCUAUAGGCAUGUCAGUGCCUGAGGAGGUCAGAGGAGAGCAACCCCCGACCCCAAGUUGGAGUUACAGGCAGUUGUGAGCUGCCCAACAUAGCCGCCGGGAACCCAACUUGGGUCCUCUGUAAAACCAGUCCACAGCCUUAACCACUCAACUAUCUCUCCAGCCCCCAUCACUAAAAUUUUAAUUGUCCUCAAAUCUGCCUCAAAGAAUGUGUAACAAGACAGCUCUUAUUCCCCUAAGAACUUUCAUUCAGAGACCAUAAGCAGAAUUCACUCUCUAUGACUCUGAGAAGACAGGAAGGGACUCACCACACAGGCCAGGCUGCACCAGUGGGCAGCUGCCUUACACAGUUGUCACUUCCCCUUGUUAAGCCUCAGUGGGGGCACCAACUACGCCCACCCCACUAGGAUAUAGGGUGUAAUUAUCAAAUCUGUUGCAUGGUGUUUGCAUCUUCCAAAGGACCAUUCAUUAAGGAGGACCUGAUGGUUGUGUCCAGCACCACAAUCCACACCACAGUUCUGUAUUGAUACAAGAGCUGCCCUAUUAUUCCUCCCUUAAAGACCGGGAAACUGUGGUAGUCGGGUCAAGUGGCCUGCCCAGAAUGAACCUAGUUUAGGGUCCUGCUGCUCAGAGAUCCAAAGAAGGUCCAUCUUAAGAGACAGAGACCAGGGACCUGAGAUGUGGCUCAGGGGUACAAUGCUCACCUAGUGUGCAAGAACCCUGAGUUUCACCCGCAGGACGGCAUGAACCUGGCAUGAAGAACCCCUGUAAUCACAGCCUCAGGAGGAGGCAGGAGAGCCAGGAACUCAAGGUCAUCCCUGACUAUGUAGGGAAUCGGGGAACAGCCUGGACGGUCUAAGUAAGGAAGGAUGGAGAACAGGAAGGAGGGAUGGAUGGCGGGAGAGACAGGGGGAAUUUAGCAGCAGACCUGGUACCAGCAAGGAAAGAACACUGAAGUUAAAUCCCCAUGAACCUAGCUGCAUUGUCUCCCGUUACCCCUGCACUGAGGGACCUUGUGCAAGGCAAACCCUAUCGCUCACAAAAGAGGAAGCGCUGUCUCCCAGGCCAUUCAGUCCUGGCCCUGGGAGAAGCUUUGUUGUGGAGCCCAUGAAGGAGCAAACUUGUGGGGGAGCCAUAUAGUGAGUGAACAAGCUCUCCUUGGAGCCACAGAAGGGGUCAUUGAUGGGACAGCUGAGGAUGACAGUCAGGUGCUAAUCUCACAACAGCUAGAUUCUAGAAUCUUUUUCUCUUGCUCGAAAGGAGAGCAGGAGCCUGAAGCCUAGAGAGGAGCUGGGGUACUACCCCAACUCCUGAGUUUCCAUUGUCCCCUGGGGCUCAUGGCCACCCCCCAGCACACAGCCCAGCUCCAAGUGGAGGGAAUGAGCUAGGAGCUACUGUAGCAGAUCAGAUCCGUAGCCAAAUGUCUGUUAGGAAAACUGCCUUCUGCACCCAUGGCAAAUGAGUCCCACGGGACAUGACAGCAGCUUGGCGCGAGUCUAAUGGCAGAGGCUUCCAUCUCCGUAGCUGGCUUUAGCUGAGACGCAGUAACCAGGCAAGGGGCAGGCAAGGUUGGGAUGAGACACUGACUAUGAGGUGCUGGGACCCCGAGCAGAAUGGUCUACUCCCGGAGAAGUUGCAACUGCUACUGAAGACACAGGUUUGGAUCUUGUCAGCUCAGAUCCGUGGCUCUGUGAUAGGAGCGGGCAUGGUCCUGAGAGAGCAUCCAAAUCCACUCCGGAACCGUAGAUCUACAGGAGAGCCCAGAAGAGACUGAGACUCCGCCUGGUCAAACCCACAACAUAUACCGGGGUGCUAAAGGGGGUUGCCUCUGAACCUGGGAGCUCCCCAGGCACAGCUGGUUCUGUGGGGUCCACAGUCCCCCCACCUUGCCAGCUGGAUACUCUGUUCCUUUGCCUAGUGGCUUUCUCUGGUCCCUUGUAUCCACCCUGCUGCCUGAAAUCAGUGUGGGGAAUUUGCACUGGGGACCAGCACCAUGGGCACUCUCCCUUCACCUUCACGUGGAUCUGAGAAACUGGGGUCCCAGGAUAUGUAUGCUGGCUCUACAGAGGAGGAAGCUAGAGCACCUGAAACAGAGCUCCUGCCCACAGCUGAAGCAACAGACACCGUUCUCCCUCCAUCCCGGCCCACCACAUGCUCUGACCUCCUGAGCCUAAUAAGGACUGUGGUAACCAGCACAGCACCCAUGGCAGGCACAGCACCCACAGCAGGCACAUCCUGGACAUUUGGCCACUCUCAGGGGCUCCUGCAGCUGAGUAAGGCUGCUUGCUUUGAACCACUUCAUGACCAAACCUCAUCCCUGCCUGAGUACCAUCCCCACCCCAACCAUCCUGUUUCAAAGGCAUCUUCCCCCUUGGGCAUCCUGUA
rnacentral:sRNA from 1 species